rnacentral:rRNA from 1 species
UAGGGAAUCUUCGGCAAUGGACGAAAGUCUGACCGAGCAACGCCGCGCGAGUGAAGAAGGUUUUCGGAUCGUAAAACUCUGUUGUUAGAGAAGAACAAGGACGUUAGUAACUGAACGUCCCCUGACGGUAUCUAACCAGAAAGCCACGGCUAACUACGUGCCAGCAGCCGCGGUAAUACGUAGGUGGCAAGCGUUGUCCGGAUUUAUUGGGCGUAAAGCGAGCGCAGGCGGUUUCUUAAGUCUGAUGUGAAAGCCCCCGGCUCAACCGGGGAGGGUCAUAGGAAACUGGGAGACUUGAGUGCAGAAGAGGAGAGUGGAAUUCCAUGUGUAGCGGUGAAAUGCGUAGAUAUAUGGAGGAACACCAGUGGCGAAGGCGGCUCUCUGGUCUGUAACUGACGCUGAGGCUCGAAAGCGUGGGGAGCAAACAGG